AUGUCGGCACGACAAGAAUCGAAACCCGAUUCAUUACACGGCGCAGCUAGGACUAUGUCUUGUCUCAUCUUGCUGACAUAUCCAGUUAAAUUUUCAACAAUCCGGCUUCUGGUUCCUUUCGUCUGCUUCAGUAGAAUGGGGACGACGAUUCUACUCAAAUGUAUACAAUUCUUCUUGUUUUGUAUCUACUGCCGAGCCCGGAAGCGAAUCAUCCUCUCGAGCCAGUUCCCAGAAGUAGUUAACUCGGCCGGGUUCGAGGACAAGACGCCGCUCAUCUUCUUCUUCCUGACGUCGGCAGAGCGGCACUGGGUCGUGACGGCGCCACGCGGCUUCGGCAAGCGCCUCAACACAGACAUGCUCCACACGUUCUUGGAGCGCCCCUUGGGCCCCGACGGGUGCGACGACGCCCCGCGCCGCACCCGCCUCGAGCGCCUCUUCCGCGGCGGGCGCCUCGGCGUGGUGCGGCAUCUCCGGGGUGACGUCGCCGACGCUUUCCUCGCCCGCCCGGUUCUCCGCCUUGAUAUGGCCGCCCUCGACGUCUCCACCUACGCCGCAUUUCGUCGCUCCUUCACCGACCUCCUACACCGCGAGUUCCGCAGGCACCAGUACCUGGUCACCGCCAACCGGACACCCACGCUCUUCGCCGACCCGUCGCGCCUCCUCCACGCAGGCUCCGCCGCCCGAUUCGCCCGCCUCCUCCGUGCCUACCACGGCAGACAGGUGAUCUUCUUCCUGGAGGAGCACGACCAACCGUUAAUGUCUGCGCUGGAGGAUCCGCGCUGCUCGGACGGGGACCUUCGCAAGAUGGUGGCGUUCUUGGGCCGGCUCGUCAAAGGCAUGAUGAACUGCGGUCACGUGGACCGCUCUCUCGUGACUGGCUGCUCCCUCCUGGGUCGUACCUACACCCGCGUGGCCAACGGCCUCGUCUACCUCCGUAACUUUGACCACCCGGCCAUCGCCAAGUACUACGGCUUCUCCGCGGCGCACGUGGAGCGCCUCGCCACCGCCUUCCGCCGGGGCAAAGAAGUAGACAGAAUGAGACAGUGGUACGACCGCUACCGCGUCGAGGGCACCUAUAGCGUCUUCCGCCCUCUUUCGGUCCUCCGCUACCUCGAGCACGACAGGUUCCGCCCAUAUCCCGACCCUCACCCGCUACCGCUGCUGGCCGCUUUCCAGUUCGACGAGAUCUCUGAGCUGGUCGAGAGGUCACUGACGCAGCUCUCGCGCCUCGAGGCCGUCACCGAUAACACGUUUUUGAGUGUUGACGAGUUGGUGGCCCUGAAGAGGUACCUGCGGCGCCACGAAUUGGACCCCCGCUGGGCGGAGGUGUAUCCCCGCUGGGUCCUCCAGCACCUCCUGGAUCACGGAUACUACACAGUCAACAAUACGGUCGACGCCGCCGCCGCAGUGGACAUCAGAGUGACCAACCGCGAAAGGGCGUUGCAGCUUAGGAACGCGCUGUACACGCGGACCUUCUUAAAGCGCAGAUACCAAAUCACGGAUGGUGAGAUGGAAGCGUACGUAACGGCCCUCGCGCGGCUGACCCAGGACCGGCGCGGCGCGAUCUCUUUGUGGAGUUCAUGA
rnacentral:lncRNA from 1 species